rnacentral:rRNA from 1 species
AACGAACGCUGGCGGCAUGCCUAACACAUGCAAGUCGAGCGCCGUAGCAAUACGGAGCGGCGCACGGGUGAGUAACGCGUGGGAACCUGCCCAGAGGUUCGGGACAACCGCGGGAAACUGCGGCUGAUACCGGAUGAUACCUGAGGGUCAAAGAUUUCUCGCCUUUGGAGGGGCCCGCGUCAGAUUAGGUAGUUGGUGGGGUAACGGCCUACCAAGCCUGUGAUCUGUAGCUGGUCUGAGAGGAUGACCAGCUACACUGGGACUGAGACACGGCCCAGACUCCUACGGGAGGCAGCAGUGGGGAGUAUUGGACAAUGGGGGCAACCCUGAUCCAGCAAUGCCGCGUGGGUGAUGAAGGCCUUCGGGUUGUAAAGCCCUUUCGGCGGGGACGAUGAUGACGGUACCCGCAGAAGAAGCCCCGGCUAACUUCGUGCCAGCAGCCGCGGUAAAAC